CCUUUUGUCAGUUUGUAUGGUAUCCUACCACGUCCUAUGCCAUCACCUUGUAUGUUCUUUGGGAGCCGUCCUAGUAUUUGGAACUGUUCAAAAUUCCUUCCACCUCGUCUGAGGCACCUGGUGCAGCUGAUGGAAAACAAACCUAUAGCCUGAUGUAUCGAUCAACAUGCCUCAGUAUCCAUGAUGGCAAGGACAGCACUGCAGCGGGCCUCCCCCAGCUCACUGGCAGCCACGCAGGUGUACAAACCAGCGUCCCACGUACGGCAGUCCCGUAUCCACAAUCCUCCUGGGUCUUGGGUUUCCGUGGGAGGCAUCAGAGUGUCAUUAUGGUACCAGGUGAGCGAUGGCUUUGGAAAACCUGCCACUGACACCCUAAGGCGGAUGUCACAGCCAGUUCCCACCGCAGCCUUGCGAAGUUUGCGGACAAAAACUGGUGGCUUGGGCUCUUGAUCGGGGACAAUAUGGUCUUUCAUAUUACAAAAUUUGGUCCUGUUGGGUGAGCUGUCUUGACUGGUACUGGAUGCUGCACCUUCAGCCAUCUUGGAUUCCAUAUGAACUCUGUAUCAGGUGGAACUUUAUACCAGGAUGGAACUUGUUGCAGACCUCAUGCCAAAUACUUCUUCAGCGCUCACACCUUUGGACUCGCAAGUCGUGCCAAUGAUGACCCGACAGGAGACUAAAACAAAUACGUGACAGUUUUACCUAGGAAGUAUUUAUCAGCUACUCGUUUAAAUGAACAACUUCUGUAUUUUCAAGGUCAAUUCCAUGCACUUUAAUAAUACAUGUUUAAACUUACAGCUGUGGUAAAUUUCAA